rnacentral:rRNA from 1 species
CAGCAAAGGAAGCAGGUCAUCUUUCUCUCUCCUUCCUCCAGCGGUCUAUGCGGGCGGGGCGAGGUUGGGAGAAGAGGAGGAGUGCGUGCCGUGGAGGAAAGAGGAGGGAGAGGGAGAGAGAGUCUGGGUGACCGCCGCCUCUGACCUCCGUGUUGUGACGUGCGCGGCCGGCCGCUCUCCUCGACGCGACGGCGGCCGCGUGGCUGACGCAGAUGACGGAGCGGAGGGGCAACUGGAUUUCUUCUGUAUAACAUAGAAGUUACCGAAAGUGACGACCCGUUUUAGUUCGCUACCUUCCGGAACACCAACAGCAAGGGUACCGACACGGCAAGUGAAAAUACGUCCCAAAUUUCAAACUACAUCCUACCCGUGUGUUCAAACUACAAACGUCAAUGUCUAAAAACAGUUUCGGGCGACUUUGCUUCAAAUCAAGUCGUUUGGUACAUACAACCUUCUUUCGUUUAAAGAACGGAAGACUUAGGAGGCAUCGGUGGUAUAAAAUAAAGUCUGGCUUAACAGGGUCGAGUCACAUAGAGUCACUUCAUCGCCCAAGUACGUUCCGGACCGGCUGCCGUUGCUGAAAUCCCCGACGGCACGAGACGUAUGAAGCAGAUCCAUUUAACACGAUCGAAAGUCUAAUAAGUAAAAGCAAAAUGGGAUAGUUUCUAGAAGAGUCUAAUCAAUUGGUCCGAUACAUUAAUACCACAACACUAAGGCUCCCGAGGCAACCUCCUAGUCGAAACCAAGUCUGAAGUCUCCGUCCAAAACCCGUAUGGCGUCGUGUUCGUCUCCGUCUAGAGUCAGUUACGAUGACGUCAACUACUACGGGACUUCGAAAGAAGUCAUUGACUGAGUCGCACGACGACAAGAGAUUCCAGCAACUCACGACUCUUGUCCGUUAUAUUAAUCCUAAAAUUGCUCUUCAACCUCCUCUAUUUUUGAAAGUCCUUCACAAAUCCGCUCAAGGUACGGCUUUUAUUACAAUACACUCGUCUCUCACGUCCGAACACGAGAAGACAACUUCUCGAACUCGUACUCUCUAACUUAGUUGUGUAUUCAGUACUCUCGUAUAGAAAUCUGCUCCUCUCCGCUGACCAGUUUCUUUAAUUCUGGGAACUUUUUUGGUCUGGCUCCCAGUCAAGGUUCCGACGAUUCGUUCGAUUUUACGUUCUAUAUCACCAACUCUCUCUACGGUAUGUCCUAGUCCACUUUUAGUAGUAUGUACCUGAUUUCCUCCCUUUUCGUCGGUCCAGAUUCUAAUUCCAGGACCCGCUAUUCCGCUACCCGCACCUCUCGACGAUGCUCGAACGCGUCCGCCGCAUGAGUUGGAGCACGACGUGUGCGAGUUCGUGGACCGCCGGCAGCAGUUACCCGAGGAGCAGGUACUAAUGGACCUGUUGUACUUGGAGCUCCUCCAACACUUCCCCUUGUAGACACUGCGGCAAGAAAUCCACGAGCGGGUACAGAUACAUUAAUAGAGAAAUAACGAAGAUUUAAUUACGGUUGUCUAAUCGCACGAAGACUCUAUAGAAGGUUCAAUGACCAUUGAUGUUUUUAAUCUGGUAUACAACUGAAGAUGGAUUAGUAUAGGAUGAUUAGUUUCUUGAAUGGGAUUGUUAGUUUCUCCAGUAGCGUAACCGAGUGACAAAUUAGUUCUACACAUACAUACGUUAACACUAGACACUCCACAGUUAACACUAGACACUCCAGAGGUAAAUGUACUCUUGUUUCUGUACUCUAUAAAUGUUAUUGAGAUCUGGAAAGGGACGUCUAUUAUUAUUACCACGUUAUGACGUAUCCUCCUUCAACAAACCCGGAAAAUGACUACCUAUAUAAAUAAUGAAAACUAGGAGUAGUUAUUAGAGGUCCGGAAACCCUCAAACGAUCGUCAGGACCAGUCUGAACCUGGUCCCUGAUCUCUCAAGGACAAGACGCGGAAUACGCGGGCUUGUGGAGCGACCGCGUGUGUCGGCGUGGAACAACCCGGCCGGGUACUUCCUCCUAGCGUCGCUCCAGCUUUUAACGUUUUUUCACGAAAGGUCCUAAGCUUGAGUCCCCUCCUUCUACCACUUCGGUUUCUACUCGUUGAGACUAACCCCUUGCUGCUGGCCGCUCGUCGUCGGGUAUCUCUACCGGCCGAGGUAAGCUGGUACUGUGCUCGCUGAGGCCUCGAGGCCGGACCGACGAGGAAGGGGUACGGACAGGAUGAGUAGGAGGGUACGAAGAGGUCUGGUUCGUACUUCUGGUGUGAUCGCUCCGAGAGAAUACCGGCGCUGGACACGGGCUAGUUCUUAGUGCUAUACACCACCGCGGCCUAGCUCUUGCGUCCUCUGCGACAGGACACCCCUUCUCUUUCUCCAAUUGUACCAUAUUUUAUUUCAUCAGUAAAAAGUACAUCACUUUGAAAUCAAAACCCGUUCUACUAGUUUUUAUUUUUAUAUUGAUUACGUUGUCCUCUUGGUGUAUACUUCAAUAGUAGUUGAAUUCUAGAACUGGUAUUUUAACUAAAAGAAAUCCGUAACAUGGUGUGCGUUCUAACGGUGUUUAGUGUUACUUUACACACAUGCUUAGAGAACAAGCCAGGAUUUUGACCUAAACAUUCAGUACGUUGACUCGUAUCUGAAAAAACACACGCCCUCUUGACCUGUAUAAUACAACUAAGACAGGAUUUUAUCCUUGAUACGG